rnacentral:rRNA from 1 species
GAGUUUGAUCAUGGCUCAGGAUGAACGCUGGCGGCGUGCCUAAUACAUGCAAGUCGAGCGAACGGACGAGAAGCUUGCUUCUCUGAUGUUAGCGGCGGACGGGUGAGUAACACGUGGAUAACCUACCUAUAAGACUGGGAUAACUUCGGGAAACCGGAGCUAAUACCGGAUAAUAUUUUUGAACCGCAUGGUUCAAAAGUGAAAGACGGUCUUGCUGUCACUUAUAGAUGGAUCCCGCGCUGCAUUUAGCUAGUUGGUAAGGUAACGGCUUACCAAGGCAACGAUGCAUAGCCGACCUGAGAGGGUGAUCGGCCACACUGGAACUGAGACACGGUCCAGACUCCUACGGGAGGCAGCAGUUAGGGAAUCUUCCGCAGUGGGCGAAAGCCUGACGGAGCAACGCCGCGUGAGUGAUGAAGGUCUUCGGAUCGUAAAACUCUGUUAUUAGGGAGACAUAUGUGUAAGUAACUGUGCACAUCUUGACGGUACCU